rnacentral:rRNA from 1 species
GGGAGGUAGUGACAAUAAAUAACAAUACAGGGUUCUUUUGGAUCUUGUAAUUGGAAUGAGUACAAUUUAAAUCUCUUAACGAGGAACAAUUGGAGGGCAAGUCUGGUGCCAGCAGCCGCGGUAAUUCCAGCUCCAAUAGCGUAUAUUAAAGUUGUUGCAGUUAAAAAGCUCGUAGUUGAAUUUCGGGAUCAAGGGAUUGGUCAUGCCUCGGUAUGCACUGGUCUUAUUGGUUCUCACCUUCUAAAGAACCAUGAUGUCAUUCAUUUGAUGUUAUGGGGAAUUAGGACUGUUACCUUGAAAAAAUUAGAGUGUUUAAAGCAAGCUUACGCUUGAAUACAUUAGCAUGGAAUAAUGAAAUAGGACAUCAGAUUCUAUUUUGUUGGUUUCUAGGAUCGAUGUAAUGAUUAAUAGGGAUAGUUGGG